AGCUGCGUCGAGAUCUUCGCAUGGGGGCAGCCUGACGAUGCGACGCCGUGUGAGUGACGAAGGCCUUCGGGUUGUAAAGCUCUUUCGCUUGGGAAUAGAGAAGGCGGAUAAUAUCAGACUAAUUUGAUGGUACCAGGUAAAGAAGCACCGGCUAACUCC
rnacentral:rRNA from 1 species